AUUUAUUAUUCUACACCAAACACAUCAGUUUACAGUGAUGCUUUGCUCAAGACAAGCCCUGAAGAAGUGAUAAGAUAGUGGAAAUCAGGAGAGGGAGAAAGAAUAAAUUAAAUCUAGGUUAUUUUAUUAUUGAUUUUUUUAGUCUAAAUACCUGUGGAUAAUUUUGUUCCAGUUCCACAGAAACAAUCACUCUUUGCAAAACAAACUUCAGAUCCCACUAUUUCCAGAAUAAACCAUGCACCUGGAAGAUUUUAUCACAGAAACUAUGCUCACAUUUGAGUAAAGAGAAAUUCCUUCUUAUUUCCUAUCAUUAAUACAGGUCCUUAGCUGACCUCUGGAGUUUCCUGGUAGUCUGUUGAUGGUGCUAGUCAAGAAUAUUGUGACUUCUGCUGUCUCCAGGUCUGAAAAAGUGUGGUAAAAUCUGAACACUAAUAUUGCAGCCCUUUGACCUCAAAUGUGUAUGCUGAAAAUUCAGAUCCCAUCUGGACCCAGUGAAUGUGCGACUUGAAAGAAGGCAAAUGAAUGAAGACUUCCAUGCUCUGGAGCUUCAACAGAGAGGUGCUGCAGAUCACCUGGGAAAAUUCCAGUACUGUGAGAAAUUUUCCAUCUAGUUUAAUUUUUAAAUUCUCUGGUAUUUUAAUUGAAUUAAUAAAAACAGGAAGAAGAGAGAAAAAUUAUAUUUGGAUUUUUUACUUAGAUUGAAACUAGCAGGAGAAAGGGGAUUAUCUCACUUGAUGAAGUAGAGAUCAUUACUUUUCAUCAAAAAACUGUUGUCUUUUUCAAUGUCAGAUGCUUUUGCUCUUUGAGGAAUAAACUGAGAAGGCUACAGCUAUACUUCAUGGAUGUUUAUGUGCAGGCCUUGUCUCCUCACUGGGCUCCAGAAUCACAGCUCCAUGAAAAUUCGUCUUUGUGCCACUGAGGCACAGGGCAACAGUAAGAACAGCCUUCAGGGAGUGCUUCACCUGGUACUGGGUUUCAAAGAGACAUUUUUCAGACUGUGGCUUUACAGUCAGUUUUUAAGAGUCCCUGGAAAUAUCUCCCAAUCCCAUGGCUCCACAGAUUGCCAGCUGAAGAUGACCAUUUGUGAAACUGGACUUCAAGCCAAGUCUGUGGCAAAAAUAAGCUGCAAAAAUGAUGUAUCACAACUAAACACUGCUGAACAAUGCUACCCUGAUGCUGUUCUGCCAUUUUUCAGGUUGCAACCUAACCAUCUGUUAAUUUUCCCCAUCACACAUUGCUAUGGGGUGCUGAGAUUCAUUGCAGGCCUACAGGAUGAUUGGUGUCUCCUGAGUCAUUCAGGAUGGGGCCUCGCAGCUUUUCAGGUCCUGCUGCUGUUUACAUCAAGUGCACUAAGGCUGGCUAUCCCAGCUGCCAUCCUCUGUCUGAUUGCCUCAGCCUCAUUGCUAUUUUAUGACCAGAGAUUGUGUCUGAGCAGAGUGAUGUGAAUGCAUCACCUGCCUUCAAGAAAAUCAGUUUGUGCCAAGGAGGACAGGAUUUUUAGGCAUUGUGACUGUCAGCUAACCUCACCUGGAAACAAAGUGUGGUGCUUUGCGUGCGGUGGGACUGAUCCUGCACCCCAGCACUCAACCUUGGCAUUGCUUUCACAGGGAUCAGAAUAAUUCCUGGUCAAGCUAAGACCCGCUUCUGUUUAUGUUCCUUUCUAAAACUUUCUAAAACUAAUCUCUCUUUUCUCCACUGCACAUAUUUUCACAUUUGUGCUAAUGAAAGCGCUGGAUUGUUCCAGGGGAUCACAUGGAAAAUAUCUGUGAGCUUUGGCCAUCUCUCUGAAAUACUACAGUCAAUUUGGUGUUUGCUUUGGCAUGUUGCUGUGAAAGAUUGUAGAGUGCUUGUGUUUGUACGCACACAGGGAAAGAGGGCUCCUGCUCAUUGUGCCUUUGUGAGGCUGCCAGACUGUCUGGCCCCAUCUAUUCUACUGUAAGUGAAAAGAGCCUCACGAGUGCUCACUGCAUGCUUGGUCCAGGCUCUGCUAGGUACUACCCUUGGAAGCCCUUCUGUCAGCUUGAAAAAUACCUUUCUGUCUGAAUAGUGUUUACUCUCUGUUGUUACAAGUAACAUGUUAAGAUUGCUUGUCUGUGAAUAAAUUUUUCCUUCUUCCCUUUGUUUCUUCCA
ensembl:lncRNA